CCUACGGGGGGCAGCAGUGAGGAAUAUUGGUCAAUGGGCGGAAGCCUGAACCAGCCAAGUCGCGUGAGGGAAUAAGGCCCUACGGGUCGUAAACCUCUUUUGCCGGGGAGCAAGGGCGGGGACGUGUCCCGUCCCGGAGAGUACCCGGAGAAAAAGCAUCGGCUAACUCCGUGCCAGCAGCCGCGGUAAUACGGAGGAUGCGAGCGUUAUCCGGAUUUAUUGGGUUUAAAGGGUGCGUAGGCGGGCUUUUAAGUCAGCGGUAAAAAUUCGGGGCUCAACCCCGUCCGGCCGUUGAAACUGGGGGCCUUGAGUGGGAGAGAAGAAGGCGGAAUGCGUGGUGUAGCGGUGAAAUGCAUAGAUAUCACGCAGAACCCUGAUUGCGAAGGCAGCCUUCCGGAGCCCUACUGACGCUGAGGCACGAAAGUGCGGGGAUCGAACAGGAUUAGAUACCCGGGUAGUC
rnacentral:rRNA from 1 species